GACGAACGCUGGCGGCGUGCCUAAUACAUGCAAGUUGAGCGAUGAAGAUUGGUGCUUGCCCCAAUUUGAAGAGCAGCGAACGGGUGAGUAACGCGUGGGGAAUCUGCCUUUGAGCGGGGGACAACAUUUGGAAACGAAUGCUAAUACCGCAUAAUAACUUUAAACAUAAGUUUUAAGUUUGAAAGAUGCAAUUGCAUCACUCAAAGAUGAUCCCGCGUUGUAUUAGCUAGUUGGUGAGGUAAAGGCUCACCAAGGCGAUGAUACAUAGCCGACCUGAGAGGGUGAUCGGCCACAUUGGGACUGAGACACGGCCCAAACCCCUACGGGAGGCAGCAGUAGGGAAUCUUCGGCAAUGGACGAAAGUCUGACCGAGCAACGCCGCGUGAGUGAAGAAGGUUUUCGGAUCGUAAAACUCUGUUGGUAGAGAAGAACGUUGGUGAGAGUGGAAAGCUCAUCAAGUGACGGUAACUACCCAGAAAGGGACGGCUAACUACGUG
rnacentral:rRNA from 1 species